rnacentral:lncRNA from 1 species
GUCCUAGCAGCCUAUGGUGGCAGAAGAUCAAAAGGACAGUGCCAGACUGUCCUCCCGACAGCAGUGACCAGAGUCACUGCUAUUUCUGGCCCAAGGCCCAUUUCUCAGAGUCAAUUCAUUUUCUGGGCAGAUGCACAGUCUCUGUGGUACACAUUCCUCAGCUCCUUUCCCCAGACCAUUCCUUCAGCCAGCUUUUCCUCGACCGGGAUUCCAGAAAAAAAUGAGGCCUUGCCAAAUACUCUGCAUGGCGUUCUGGAUUCACCAAGAGGGGUGGGAGCCAGACCCUUUCUAGGUGGAAGGGAAAGGAGGUAGCCUCGUGGCGUCCUCGGGCAUCAGCCCCACUCCCUCCCGGAUCGCUGUUGUGAAGGGACAUGCCAGCCCUCUCCUCUCAGACAAAACUAGUGUUCUGCUUGGAUUCCCUGAAAUAAGCCGGGCUGCCCGUUCUUAGAGAUGGGGCUUGGGGCCCGUGGAGGGGAAGGGCCUUCGAGGUCCUGUUGGUGAUGGCCAGGCCAGCCGAGAGCCCAGGAAAGGCCCUGUCCUUAAUCUGUGCCUAGACGUCCUACCACCCAGCCACACAGUAGCUGCCACACACUCCUUCGAGGACCAGCCCCCAUGCCCAGCUUCUGCCACUUCCGCUCUGGGCCUGUGCCUGGCAGCAGGCACCCCUUGCCACAGGCAGAGCUGCCCUGCACUCCGGUCCUCUGGAAAGCCUGGUGAGAUGCCAGGCUGGGCCAUGAGCUUGGAGCCCGGCAGCGCGCGUCAGGACGCAGCAGCGGCCACCUUGACGUGAAGAGGGUGCUCCCUCCCGUAAGACGGCUCAGCUCUGCCACGGGGCACAGGGCUGACUGCCCCGAGACGCCGCCAUGCUCCUCCUGGUCCUCCAGUUACACAGCCUCCCUGGACAUUUCUAACAGAACAGGUGUUCUUAUUUCUGGGGCUCCCCAUUCAUGGGAGCCCAGCAAGGGCCGGCGGGCCACAGGGCCCUCGGUCUCUGCCCAGGCAAGUAGUCAAGUGUGGCUGCAGCUGUGCUGCCACUGCAGGCGAGGGGCCGGCCUCAGGCGGUCUUCUGCGUGAGGGGCUGUCUGGGGAGGCCCUGCUGCCUGUGGGUGCCAGUGAUUUGCAGUGCAGGGGCACAGGGUGAGUGUGGGGCAAGGAUGACCUGUGAGCCGCCAGCCUGAGCAGCAGCCUGGGCCGGAACCGCACGCUGGAAAGCCCCUUCAGCUAAGGUGGUCUCUCCCCCAGCAUCCGCUGACCCCAGCCAACUUCCUGAGGUCUGAUGCUGGUCAGCCUUCCAAGGCGUAGGUCUCACACCAACUCUGCAUCCAGCAACUCUGCGUUGGAAGCUGGAAGCCGGCCCACUGUUGGGGGAGCAGACCAGGACUCCUCCCACCCCGAGUGGCUGCGAGCCCCUCCCUAGCAGACCCGGGCCAGGCCGGUCUGACUCCAUCAAACCUGAUCCUGAUCACUGAGUGUGGCUGACUUUCUGAGCCCUAAGGAAAAACUCCAGGGCAACCCUUAUGCUU